rnacentral:misc_RNA from 1 species
GAUGAAGAACGCAGCGAAAUGUGAUACUUGGUGUGAAUUGCAGAAUCCCGUGAACCAUCGAGUCUUUGAACGCAAGUUGCGCCCGAAGCCAUUAGGCCGAGGGCACGCCUGCCUGGGCGUCACACGUCGUUGCCCCCCCAUCUACUCCUUCGGGAUUGCGGGGGGCGGAUGAUGGCCUCCCGUGCGCCUCGCCGCGCGGUUGGCAUAAAUGCCAAGUCCUCGGCGACGCACGCCACGACAAUCGGUGGUUGCGAAACCUCGGUUGCCCGUCGUGUGCGGUCGUCGCGCAUCGAGGGCUCGAAAAAAUUGCCGGGUUCCGGCUCGGCUUUCAACGCAACCCCAGGUCAGGCGGGGUUACCCGCUGAAUUUAAGCAUAUCAAUAAGCGGAGGA